rnacentral:sRNA from 1 species
CCCUGCUGCUCCUGAGGCUGACAUGGGAGAUCCUCUUGAGCUCAGGACUUCUGGGAUCCAGGGCACUCUGUGAUCGUCCACAAGGGAACAUCCCAGCAGCAGGGGACCACCAGGUGGCCUAUGGAGGGGUCUGAAAUGGAGCAGGUCAAAAUUGCCCUGCUGAUCAGUACCACAUUGUGCCUGUGAGUAGCCACUGCCCUCCAGCCUGGGCAACAUCUCUAGACCCCGUCCC